rnacentral:rRNA from 1 species
GAUGAACGCUGGCGGCGUGCUUAAUACAUGCAAGUCGAGCGAACAGAUGAGGCGCUUGCUCCUCUGACGUUAGCGGCGGACGGGUGAGUAACACGUGGAUAACCUACCUAUAAGACUGGGAUAACUUCGGGAAACCGGAGCUAAUACCGGAUAAUAUAUUGAUCCGCAUGGUUCAAUAGUGAAAGACGGCUUUGCUGGCACUUAUAGAUGGAUCCGCGCCGCAUUAGCUAGUUGGUAAGGUAACGGCUUACCAAGGCAACGACGCGUAGCCGACCUGCUGGGGUGGUAGGCCACACGGGAGCUGAGACGCGGUCCUGGCUCCUACGGUAGGCACCAGUCUGGAAUCGUCCGCAAUGGGCGAAAGCCUUGCGGAGCAGCGCCACGUGAGUGAUGAAGGUCUUCGGAUCGUAAUGCUCUGUUAUGAGGUAAGAACAGAUUUGUAAGUAGCUGUGCACGUCUUGACGGUACCUGAUCAGAAAGCCACGGCUAACUACGUG